GACAAUAUGCUUAUAGAAGAUUUCAUGACCCCUCAGAUAAUUCAGAGCCAAUCGAGCAUCGUGUAUCCACCGUUUUAGUAGCCUAACUUCCAAUUGAAGACCAACAUGAUACAACUGUUUCAAAACGGGCAUCAAUUCUACGAAAGAACCGAAGAGAAUCCACAUACGCACGUCUCUUGUUUUUNCGGACAAUCUGUGCCCUGUCUUGUUGGAAACCCUUUUAAGACAUAAAAGACAAUGUUCUAAUGGCAAUCUAUCCAUCCAUUGUACAUGUUUGUUGCAUCAACUUACUUAGAUGUAAUUAUUAUGUACGUCUCACUUAGAUAAUGGAUUUUCAGGCAUUACAAUUCACUGGUUGUUGAUAUUGAUCAUUAACUGCUUGCAAAUGUUAAGAAUUUGGUUGUUUUGUUGAUGAUUUCCCUAGCUGAAGUAAAAGAUUUAUCACACUAUCCUUCUCUGUAAUUUGAUACAAUCUUGAGAAGUUCUAUAGAUAAAUAGAAUGCGGUGAAUUGCAAAUCUGAUUUAUUUGCAGCACUUUUU
rnacentral:lncRNA from 1 species